rnacentral:rRNA from 1 species
CCUACGGGAGGCAGCAGUAAGGAAUAUUGGUCAAUGGACGAAAGUCUGAACCAGCCAUGCCGCGUGAAGGAUGAAGGCCCUCUGGGUUGUAAACUUCUUUUUAUCUGGGACGAAAAAAAGGGAAUUCUUUCCCACUUGACGGUACCAGAGGAAUAAGCACCGGCUAACUCCGUGCCAGCAGCCGCGGUAAUACGGAGGGUGCAAGCGUUAUCCGGAUUUACUGGGUUUAAAGGGUGCGUAGGUGGGUAGGUAAGUCAGUGGUGAAAUCUCCGAGCUUAACUCGGAAACUGCCAUUGAUACUAUCUAUCUUGAAUAUCCUGGAGGUGAGCGGAAUAUGUCAUGUAGCGGUGAAAUGCUUAGAUAUGACAUAGAACACCAAAUUGCGAAGGCAGCUCACUACGGGAUUAUUGACACUGAGGCACGAAAAGCGUGGGGAUCAAACAGGAUUAGAUACCCUGGUAGUCCACGCCCUAAACGAUGGAUACUCGACAUACGCGAUACACUNUGUGUGUCUGAGCGAAAAGCAUUAAAGUAUCCCACCUGGGAAGUACGAUCGCAAGAUUGAAAACUCAAAAGUAGUAAGUUACGGACGCGUAGGACGUAGCGACGACGACACCAGGGAGGGUUAGGAGG